UGCUAAGAACAUUGUGUCAUGCAGUUCUUGUAACUCUGGAAGGCUUUUGCUGCCUUUUACAGAUCAGUGACCCAGAGAGCAUACGAGUGCAAUCCAGAUGGCACAGCUCACAUCCACUGUGGGGACUCAAACCCAGAGUGUUCCAAUCAUGCCUGCUUUCCCCUCAAACUAAGACAGAAUCUCUUACCCUAACGUGGGACCUCCCAAACUUAACUUCCCUGGAUGAAGUGCACGUCUAGAUUUAAAAAUGAUGCUGCCCCCGCUGCCCAAGUGACUUGAACGGAGCCCACAUAUCAUUAGGCAGCCCUGGAUGCCUCCUUGGAAAGUUCUUCCCUGAUAGAAAGAGCCUGUGCUGACUGCUACUUCAUUUCUCUGCCCCAGAGCUCCCUUGGGAAAGAUGCCUUGCUCAGAAUUUUCUGAUAAGCUAAUGUGGGUAACAAUGAUAAUAAACCCUUGGGGGAAUAAUCACCUG
rnacentral:lncRNA from 1 species